UCCAGCCUGGGUGAAAGAGUCAGACCCUGGCGCUGGCCCACAUGACUGCCACAGCAAGCUCCGUAGCUCAUGGGCCCUGGGUCCCCUGCACCUGGGACCUGGGCAUAAGUUUGGCUGUGGACAUUG
ensembl:snoRNA